UUUCUCCCUGGCUUCUCCGCAGGGCCGCUCACCAUGGCAGCCGGCUCCAUCACCGCCGGCCAGCGAGAGGGCAAGACAAGAGGGCUGACAAGAGGGACGCUACCAUCACAGAGGCUGGUCUCAAACUCCUGACCUGAGGCAAUCCACCCACCACAGCCUCCCAAAGUCCUGGUAUUACAGGCGUGGCUAUUAGCCUCACCAAGUUAAGAUUCCUGAUGCCAACCACUCACCCACUCCAUGUUUUUCAGGAUUAUAAACACUAGUUAUAAAGCUUGAACUGGCUGGGGGUGAGGUGGCUCACACCUGUAAUCCCAGCACUCUGGGAGGCCGAGGCAGUUGGAUCACCUGAGGUCAGGAGUUCAAGACCAGCCUGACCAAUAUGGUGAAACCCCACCUCUAGCUGGGCGUGGUGGUGUGCACCUGUAAUCCCAGCUACUUGGAGACAGGAGAAUCACUUGAACCUGGGAGGUGGAAGUUGCAGUGAGUGCAGAUCAUGCCAUUGUACUCCAGCCUGGGUGACAGAGCAAGACUUGAUCUCAAAAAUAAGCAUUGACAACUGCGGGUCAAAACUGCCCCUGGUUGAGACUCACUGGCUGGAGCCAAAAGGCUGACCUGCCUGCCCAACAGCAGC
rnacentral:antisense_RNA from 1 species